GAUGAACGCUAGCGGCAGGCUUAAUACAUGCAAGUCGUGGGGCAGCAUGAGUAGCAAUACUUGAUGGCGACCGGCAAACGGGUGAGGAACACGUACACAACCUUCCUUCAAGCGGGGAAUAGCCCAGAGAAAUUUGGAUUAAUACCCCAUAAUAUAUUUGAUAAGGCAUCUUAUUAAUAUUAAAGCUUCGGCACUUGAUGAUGGGUGUGCGGCUGAUUAGAUAGUUGGCGGGGUAACGGCCCACCAAGUCUACGAUCAGUAGCUGAUGUGAGAGCAUGAUCAGCCACACGGGCACUGAGACACGGGCCCGACUCCUACGGGGAGGCAGCAGUAAGGAAUAUUGGACAAUGGACGGAAGUACUGAUCCAGCCAUGCCG
rnacentral:rRNA from 1 species